GCCAGCUUGGUGUAGUGGCAGCAUUUCUGACUCUGGAUCAGAAGGCGCGGGUUCGAUCCCCGCAGUUGGCA
rnacentral:tRNA from 1 species